UACGGGAGGCAGCAGUGGGGAAUAUUGCACAAUGGGCGCAAGCCUGAUGCAGCCAUGCCGCGUGUAUGAAAAAGGCCUUCGGGUUGUAAAGUACUUUCAGUCGUGAGGAAGGUGUUAAGGUUAAUAACCUUAGCAAUUGACGUUAGCGACAGAAGAAGCACCGGCUAACUCCGUGCCAGCAGCCGCGGUAAUACGGAGGGUGCGAGCGUUAAUCGGAAUUACUGGGCGUAAAGGGCACGCAGGCGGUUAAUUAAGUUGGAUGUGAAAUCCCCGGGCUUAACCUGGGAAUGGCAUUCAAGACUGGUUAGCUAGAGUCUUGUAGAGGGGGUUAGAAUUCCAUGUGUAGCGGUGAAAUGCGUAGAGAUGUGGAGGAAUACCGGUGGCGAAGGCGGCCCCUGGACAAAGACUGACGCUCAUGUGCGAAAGCGUGGGGAGCAAACAGGAUUAGAUACC
rnacentral:rRNA from 1 species